rnacentral:rRNA from 1 species
AAGCUCUGUUGUAAGAGAAGAACGAGUGUGAGAGUGGGAAGUUCACACUGUGACGGUAUCUUACCAGAAAGGGACGGCUAACUACGUGCCAGCAGCCGCGGUAAUACGUAGGUCCCGAGCGUUGUCCGGAUUUAUUGGGCGUAAAGCGAGCGCAGGCGGUUAGAUAAGUCUGAAGUUAAAGGCUGUGGCUUAACCAUAGUACGCUUUGGAAACUGUUUAACUUGAGUGCAGAAGGGGAGAGUGGAAUUCCAUGUGUAGCGGUGAAAUGCGUAGAUAUAUGGAGGAACACCGGUGGCGAAAGCGGCUCUCUGGUCUGUAACUGACGCUGAGGCUCGAAAGCGUGGGGAGCGAACAGG